GGCCCUAUAGCUCAAACGGACAGAGCGCCCACUUCGCGACUGGGCAGGUCCGGGUUCGAAUCCCGGUAGGGCCG
rnacentral:tRNA from 1 species